UACGUAGGGUGCGAGCGUUUGUCCGGAAUUAUUGGGCGUAAAGAGCUCGUAGGCGGUCUGUCGCGUCGAUCGUGAAAACUUGGGGCUUAACCCUGAGCUUGCGGUCGAUACGGGCAUGACUGGAGUUCGGCAGGGGAGACUGGAAUUCCUGGUGUAGCGGUGAAAUGCGCAGAUAUCAGGAGGAACACCGGUGGCGAAGGCGGGUCUCUGGGCCGAUACUGACGCUGAGGAGCGAAAGCGUGGGGGAGCGAACAGG
rnacentral:rRNA from 1 species